GAGGAUAUAGCUCAAGUGGUAGAGCGCAUGCUCAAUGUACAUGAGGUCCUGGGUUCAAUUCCCACUACCUCCU
rnacentral:tRNA from 1 species